rnacentral:rRNA from 1 species
AGUGAACGCUGGCGGUAGGCCUAACACAUGCAAGUCGAACGGCAGCACAGUACGAGCUUGCUCUUACGGGGGGCCGGUGGCGGACGGGAGAGGAAUAUAACGGAAUCUACUUUUUCGUGGGGGAUCACGUAGGUAAACUUACGCUCAUACCGCAUACCACCUACGGUUGAAAGCAGGGGAUCUUCUGACCUUGCGGGAAUGAAUGCGCCGAUGUUGGGUUAGCUAGUUGGCGGGGUAAAGACCCACGAAGUCGACGAUCGGUAGCCGGUCUGAGAGGAUGGUCAGCCACACUGGAAGUGAGACAGCGACCAGAGUCCUAAGGUAGGGAGCAGAGUGGUAUAUGGGACAGUGGUCGCAAGCCUGAUCCAGCCAUACCGCGUGGGUUGAAGAGGCCUUCGGGUUGUAAAGACCUUUUGUUGGGAGAGAAAAGCAGCAGGUUAUUACCCCGCUUGUCUGACGGUACCCAAAGAAUAAGCACCGGCUAACUUCGUG